UACGAGGGGGGCGAGCGUUGUUCGGAAUUAUUGGGCGUAAAGGGUGCGUAGGCGGUUCCGCAAGUCCUGUGUGAAAUCUUCGGGCUCAACUCGAAGUCUGCACGGGAAACUGCGGGGCUUGAGUGUGGGAGAGGUGAGUGGAAUUCCCGGUGUAGCGGUGAAAUGCGCAGAUAUCAGGAGGAACACCGGUGGCGAAGGCGGGUCUCUGGGCCGAUACUGACACUGAGGAGCGAAAGCGUGGGGAGCGAACAGG
rnacentral:rRNA from 1 species